CAGGGUUUCUAGGAAGAUAGGAAAGGUUUGAGAUCUUCUGUGGUCGCUUGGGAGCGUUGGCGGCCAGUCAAGGUGUUUACACACUGGUAACAAGAUCCGCUGAAAUCUCACGCUUGCGCCAGUCGGGGUAGGGACUUAGCCACAGGUGAGUUCGCUGAACUCCGCUGCUGCAUCUGCUCCCACCCCAAGGCCCCAGGCUGGACCAACCGAACUGGGAUUCGCUGUGCUUUACUAAGAGCAUGGGCCCUGAAGGAGUGAGCGGGGUUUUGAUUCCUCUUCCCAAGAACAAGAAUGCCCCCGAGGAAUUUCUCACUCUGUGAAAGUGCAAAACUAAUUUCCCCCGGUAAGCGCUGUUGCCGAUUCCCAAAAGGGCUUGGAAAGAUCCCAGUAGGAAUGUUUAGUAGUUUCCAAAUCUCUUCACCCAGCAGCUGAACACGCAGACACUGACCAUCAAAAACUUCUUGGUGGGUGGACACACGUCCUCCUUCACAGAUAGGCCUUCUUUUGGUACAUCUCAGUCCCCAUGUUAUGAAGACUUUGGACAUUAGCCAGAGGAUGCACAAUCAUGAACUCAGUGCAGACACAGCACACAUAUACAGGUUCUCUAGACCCAAACAGCUCUGCAACUCAGUUUGGAAAACCUCCAGUUAGUGAUUGCAGAGCUGGCCAGUCAAUCUCUUCAACCAAGCCUAGUGACAUCAUCAAUCAUUGCUUCACCUCGACAGAAUUCCCGGAGCAAACUUCUGGAAAAGUGAGGAGAUCAAGCGUCGAGCACAAGUCAGCUGUGGAGAUGACAGCAGAGCUGGACCGAGAGCCGGCCUCCGGGCUUUGGUUGCAUCACACGU